rnacentral:rRNA from 1 species
GAUGAACGCUAGCGACAGGCCUAACACAUGCAAGUCGAGGGGCAGCACAUGCGUAGCAAUACAAUGGUGGCGACCGGCGCACGGGUGAGUAACACGUAUGCAACCUACCUGUAAGAGGGGAAUAACCCGGAGAAAUUCGGACUAAUACCGCAUAAUACUGAUUAUCUGCAUGGAUUGAUCAGUUAAACAUUUAUGGCUUACAGAUGGGCAUGCGUAUGAUUAGAUAGUUGGUAGGGUAACGGCCUACCAAGUCAACGAUCAUUAGGGGUUCUGAGAGGAAGGUCCCCCACACUGGUACUGAGACACGGACCAGACUCCUACGGGAGGCAGCAGUGAGGAAUAUUGGUCAAUGGGCGAGAGCCUGAACCAGCCAAGUCGCGUGAAGGAAGAAGGUUCUAUGGAUUGUAAACUUCUUUUGUAAGGGAAUAAAAAGAGUUACGUGUAACUUAUUGUAUGUACUUUACGAAUAAGGAUCGGCUAACUCCGUG